rnacentral:lncRNA from 1 species
CUAUCAGGUUUAGCUGAACUGUAACAUGCCCGGACAAUACCUCCUAAUGCGGAUUUAUACAAGCUAGGGGGUGGGGUUAGGGUUUUUUUUUCUUCCAUGCACUACUCCUUCUUUGGUUCCUCACAACAGUAUUAGUACAAUGUUCUUGAAAAUGAGUGGUUGCCAAAAAAGGUGACAAUAAAAUUGUGGAGGAAAUGUUGGCCCGAUUUUGCCAGAGCAUGAGCAAUAAAGCUGCCAAUACGCCAGUCAACUAGUAAACAAGAAGCAAUAAUUGUCCUCAAAACAAAGAUAGACCAACCAGAAACACCUCUGUAACUUGUCCAUUUUAAAAAAAUUGAUCAUUUUUUAAAUUUGAAAAUAAUUUUGCUUAAACUUAUAAUUUUAUCCUUAAUGAGAAGCUUUUAUAAUCACACAAAUAAUCUGGGCCCCUUUUUAAAUUGUUUAGGACCACAAAUUCUAAAAGUCUUUAUUUUUUCUUAAACUCUGUGCCCAAUCAAACAUGUUCACAUAAAUUGGAACGGAGGGAGUAGUAAUUUGUAUCUUUUGGACAAUCAAAAACCUUAGAAGGUAGCAAGUUGUGUAUAUAUAUAACAACAACAACAACCUAGUAUAAUCUCACUAGUGGGUAUGGGGAGGAUAGUUUGUACGCAGAUCUUACCCCUACCCUAGGGUAGAGAGGCUGUUUCCGAUAGACCUUCGGCUCCCU